GAUGAACGCUGGCGGCGUGCCUAAUACAUGCAAGUCGAGCGAACAGAUGAGGAGCUUGCUCCUCUGACGUUAGCGGCGGACGGGUAAGUAACACGUGGAUAACCUACCUAUAAGACUGGGAUAACUUCGGGAAACCGGAGCUAAUACCGGAUAAUAUAUUGAACCGCAUGGUUCAAUAGUGAAAGACGGUUUUGCUGUCACUUAUAGAUGGAUCCGCGCCGCAUUAGCUAGUUGGUAAGGUAACGGCUUACCAAGGCAACGAUGCGUAGCCGACCUGAGAGGGUGAUCGGCCACACUGGAACUGAGACACGGUCCAGACUCCUACGGGAGGCAGCAGUAGGGAAUCUUCCGCAAUGGGCGAAAGCCUGACGGAGCAACGCCGCGUGAGUGAUGAAGGUCUUCGGAUCGUAAAACUCUGUUAUUAGGGAAGAACAAAUGUGUAAGUAACUAUGCACGUCUUGACGGUACCUAAUCAGAAAGCCACGGCUAACUACGUG
rnacentral:rRNA from 1 species